GAGAUGGAGCCUACUCUAUCACCCAGGCUGGAGUGCAGUGGUGUAAUCUCAGCUCACUGCAACCUCCACCUCCAGAGUUCAAGUGAUUCUCGUGCCUCAGCUUCCUGAGUAGCUGGGAUUACAGGCACCCGGUACCACCCCCGGCUCAUUUUUGUCUUUUUAGUAGUGAUGGGUUUCGCCAUGUUGGCCAGUCUGCUUUCAAACUCCUGACCUCACGUGACCACCAGCCUCAGCCUCCCAAAGUGCUGGGAUUACAGGCGUGAGCCACCGAGACCAGCCUCACCUCAUUCACUCUUACCUGGACACCUGACUUUACUUGAGAUACAGGCAUAGUGAUUCUCAGCAGGAAACAGCCUGCCCCCACGUCACGCCCAGAGACCCAUCACUGGCUGCCUGGCUUGGUGACAAAGUCCAUGCAUUUCUAAUCAGAAACAUGGAGGCCAGAAAGCAGUGGAGAAUGACGACCCUCAGGCAGCCCUGGAGGAUGCUGUCACAGGCUGGGGCAAGGGCCUUCAGGCUACCAACUGGGAGCUCUGGGAACAGCCCUGUUGCAAACAAGAAGCCAUGGCCCGGCCAGAGCCCAGAAUGUGGGCUGAGCUGGGAUCCACGUGACAGCUUUGAGGCUCACUGGGAGCAGCCUCUGGACAGGAGAGGUCCCAUCCAGGAAACCUCGGGCAUGGCUGGGAAGUGGGGUACUUGGUGCCGGGUCUGUAUGUGUGUGUGACUGGUGUGUGGGAGAGAGAAUGUGUGCUCUGAGUGUCAGUGUGAGUCUGUGUAUGUGUGAAUAUUGUCUUUGUGUGGGUGAUUUUCUGCAUGUGUAAUCGUGUCCCUGCAAGUGUGAACAAGUGGACAAGUGUCUGGGAGUGGACAAGAGAUCUGUGCACCAUCAGGUGUGUGCAUAGCAUCUGUACAUGUCAAGAGUGCAAGGUGAAGUGAAGGGACCAGGCCCAUGAUGCCACUCAUCAUCAGGAGCUCUAAGGCCCCAGGGCCUGGAGCAGGAAGCAGCGGCAAGGACCUCUGGAGCAGCCCAUACCCGCCCUGGCCUGACUCUGCCACUGGCAGCACAGUCAACACA